rnacentral:lncRNA from 1 species
GGACAGACCAGCAGCACUCUCAGAGAGAAGACUUUGAGCUGUUAAACUUUAAAAUAUUCAGCGAGGGGAGUUCCCAUCGUGGCGCAGCAGAAACGCAUCCGACUAGGAACCUAAUUGCAGUUACGCUGUGACAUGAAAUGGACGUUCGAGGAGGAAGGUGGUCACACAACAGCCCCCCUGCCCCCCGCGCACAGGAAGGGACGUUUGGUGGCACCUGGCACGCACGGAGCUGAGGCAAAGGGGGCGAUGAGGGUGAGGGGCAGGUUUUGAUGGAGGGAAAUUUACCAGCUAGUCUGUAAGGGAUGGAACCUUCUGGUGGGCCUGCCGCUGCGUCUGAGGAGAAAUUCCAUCGCCUGGAGGAGCACAGCCUGCCUCCCUGAGGGAUGCGGCGGGCACCGCUUUUCCCCCCCUUAGGAGGGAACAGCUUUGUUCCCAGCACUGUGGCUCCUUGUCAGGUGGAGACACAGCUAUUCUGGGCGCAAGGCUGGGAUUCAGACAGUGGAUGGUGCAUCUGGAUGCCAAGUGGCCAGAGGGGGAGCUUUGCCCGAAGCUCCCUCCCCCCACCCCCGCCCUCUGCUCUGCAGAACCCCCCACCCCACCCCACCCCCGCCUCCCCUGCUGACCGCGUCGGGCUCUGCCCCCUGGACUGACAUGGAGAGGCCGGAGCCUGUGCCAGGGCAGGGGGCUGCUCUUUCCUGCUGGCUCCACGUCUGCCACGGGUCUCCGAGGGUGGCCGGACAGCAGGUCUUCAAUCCAGGAGCUUCAGUGUCUCCUAGAAGCAGUGGCUGGAUUGAGCUUGAAAUUCCUGCGACAUGUGCAAAGCUGGCUGGUGUCCCCACUCGGGGGUCUGGGCUCCCGGCUGACAGGACCCCUGCCCUGCAGUCAGGGCAGCACCCAGCAGGGGUCCUUGGCAGACCCUGACUCUCCAGGGCCUUGCGGGCUGAAUGUCCUCCCCCGACUCAUGCUGAAGUCUAAACCCCCUGGGGCCUCAGAAUGUGACUUUAUUUAGAAACACGGCCAGCCUGACGCGGUCUGGGCAGGGAGCCUCGGCACUUGCAGGAAAGUUCCACAGAUCUGUGUCCCCACAGCCUUGAUGGAACCGAGGCCAGGAGCCAUGCUAAACACCUUUGCAUUCUCAUCCUUGCUCUGACUUGUCACAGACGACCUCUUUUCACCCAGAGUCUGCUUCUUUCCUUCUGCAAAAGGAAAAUGACUAGGUGCCAGCAUAUUCAGUGGAUGCUCAUUUGGUUGCACUUGAAAAUGUUCACUUACUGUAACGGGCUCGUUAUUGUGGGAAUGUAAUUGGAACCUAGACUGCUACGACCUCAGGAAACAGAGAGGAACGAAGCUGGGCACGAAGGUUCACUUUGCCCCACGGCAGCAGCCCCUCCCCCGGGGAAGGGGAAGGAAGCCCCCUCCCCUCCUGUCCCCCCUCCACCCCCACCACACACACCGGUGGUGGCUGGGUCUUUGGGAACCUGAGAGGCUUCCAAUCAAAGGCCCUUAACGGGUCCCCGGAGAAACUAAAACCUAUCAACUCAGACACACAGAAAUGCACUGUCUGCCCUGCAGCGUUCUCCCCAGUCCCCUAAAAUCUGGAGGAGUCAAGAACUGACCAGGACAGGGCCCUGGGCUGCUGUGUGGGGGACACCCGGCCUCAUGAAGCCUGCGUGGGCUUGUCCACAACCAGGCGCUAAGGCUGUCAGCAUCUCGAAAGCUGGCGUUCCCGUCGUGGCUCAGCAGUUAGUGAACCCGCCGAGCAUCCAUGAGGAUGCAGGUUUGAUCCCUGGCCUCGCUCCGCAGGUUGGGGAAUGGAGCAUUGCCGUGAGCUGUGGUGUAGGUGGCAGAUGCGGCUCGGAUCCCACGUUGCUGUGGCUGUGGUGUAGGCCAGCCACCUGGGAUUGGACCCCUAGCCUGGGAACCUCCAUAUGCCGCAGGUGUGGCCCUACAAAGACAAAAAGACACCCCCUCAAAAAAAAAAAAAGAUAAAAAAAGGCUGUAAGCCUCUGGAAAGGUGAAGAAGAAGGGGGGGUCAGUGCUCCGUGGAGGGACUGGCUGAGGUGAGGGCUCUGACGCUCUUUUGCCCGAUGUCUGUUAUGCUUUUUAAAAAGCUGAAUAAAACGCAGGUCAGUGUUCAUGCAGCGCUCAGCGUGGCAGGCAGGGGCUGGGUUUGAUCUUAAAGAUUUGGACUGGACUCUGUUCAACACACGGGCCUAAAAUAAUUAGAAAUGCAAUUAGAAAUGUUAGCCCUUUCAGCGGGAGCAAGGCUUAGACUCAUCUGAGACCUAAUUUUCAAGCCGCAGCAGAGCUGUGUUCCAGAAACCUCAUGGGGGUUUGGUUUCCCUCUUUGGAGGAACGUUUUAUGGCCCUGUGCGACUUUAGAAGCAGCCCAUCGCCAUGCGGGGCACACGCGGGCCUAUGAGCCAUGUUUGAAAUUUCUAACUUCAGCCUCUGAACAAAGAAACUAUUCUGCUGGAUAAUAAGACAUAUUUACUGGGAAGAAAAUGGCAGGCUUAUUGUAAGUUUUACAACAUGUAAAAACGCGAUGGGAUUUUUUUUAGAUCCAAAAUAAUUUAUAGCGCUUAAUGUUUCUCAGUUGGCGCAAAAACACAGAGCCAAGGCCAACACUCCAAUCAAAAAAGUGGGCAAAGGAUAAGAACAGACAGUAAUGGUACCUGAAGAUUCUGAAAUAUGAAAAAUAGGAAAAGACGGUCCCCGCAUUCAGCGUAAGAAAAAUGCAAAUUAAAAAACUCCAGCGAGAUGUCAUUUUCCAUCCAGUACCGGGGCAGAAGUCCGGAAGCUGUCGGUUCUGUCCAGGGGUGAGGCUGUGGGGAAACAGGCGGGGUACACACUGCCGGUGGGGUGGGGACGCCCACGGGCGCAGCGAUGCUCCAUUUGGCCGGAGCUUCCAGAAUUGUCAUGAAUCCCCUUCUGCAGCUUCAGCCUCCAGUGAGACUCGCACACGUGCAAAAUGACACGUCUACAGGACCUGGCACCGCAGCCGCGUCUAGCGUCUAUACCCACGGAGCACUGGCAGCAGCCCCGCUUCCACCCGAGGGAAUGUCAACUGAGCAGCUUGCAUCACUGUCGUAGCAGCUGUCGGGGGACACGCUCUUCCAGGUGAUAGGGGACACUGCCCAGUGUAUUUCGGCCAAAUAUUUCAUGAGCCUCGGAAUCAUCCCUCCAUCCCCUCGCUCAUCCUGGGCUCCGGCAGCUUUCGGGGGAGAGCGUGCCGACGCCUCGUGGCCACGGACUCUUUGCUUCUGUCUCUAAGUCUCUGUUGUGGCCCCAACAGGAAAGCAAAGAAGAGGCCCGCCCUCUCCACGGGUGCUCUCUCUGGCAAAUGCUGGUUUGGUGAACUAUUCCAGAAAGUCGCUGGGCCUUGCUCGCAAGCUUAGAGUGUCGUCACUUCCAAAAUUCAGCCAUGAGACUCGAACAAGUGAACUGACAGGACCUUGGCUCCACUGCUCUGAUUCUCCACGAGUUCACGCCACGAAAUGACCCUGACAUUACAUUUCCACGCUUGUUUUUUCAGUAAUCCCUACGCUCAUCCAUUCUAAUCCCAGGCCUGCUAAAAUAUCAGAAAUAAAAAUUCCCGGAUGCGAUAACCCAAAUAAAAUACUAAAACAGA